rnacentral:rRNA from 1 species
CGGACGGGUGAGUAACGCGUAAGGACCUGCCCCUGGGAGGGGGACAACAGCUGGAAACGGCUGCUAAUACCCCAUAGCCUGAGGAGGGAAAGGCCAGGCAACUGGCGCCCGGGGAGGGGCUUGCGUCUGAUUAGCUGGUUGGUGGGGCAAUGGCCCACCAAGGCGACGAUCAGUAGCUGGUCUGAGAGGAUGAUCAGCCACAUUGGGACUGAGACACGGCCCAG